rnacentral:rRNA from 1 species
GAGGAAUAUUGGUCAAUGGACGAGAGUCUGAACCAGCCAAGUAGCGUGAAGGAUGACUGCCCUAUGGGUUGUAAACUUCUUUUAUACGGGAAUAAAGUGAGGCACGUGUGCCUUUUUGUAUGUACCGUAUGAAUAAGGAUCGGCUAACUCCGUGCCAGCAGCCGCGGUAAUACGGAGGAUCCGAGCGUUAUCCGGAUUUAUUGGGUUUAAAGGGAGCGUAGGCGGACGCUUAAGUCAGUUGUGAAAGUUUGCGGCUCAACCGUAAAAUUGCAGUUGAUACUGGGUGUCUUGAGUACAGUAGAGGCAGGCGGAAUUCGUGGUGUAGCGGUGAAAUGCUUAGAUAUCACGAAGAACUCCGAUUGCGAAGGCAGCUUGCUGGACUGUAACUGACGCUGAUGCUCGAAAGUGUGGGUAUCAAACAGGAUUAGAUACCCUGGUAGUCCACACAGUAAACGAUGAAUACUCGCUGUUUGCGAUAUACAGUAAGCGGCCAAGCGAAAGCGUUAAGUAUUCCACCUGGGGAGUACGCCGGCAACGGUGAAACUCAAAGGAAUUGACGGGGGCCCGCACAAGCGGAGGAACAUGUGGUUUAAUUCGAUGAUACGCGAGGAACCUUACCCGGGCUUGAAUUGCAACUGAAUGAUGUGGAGACAUGUCAGCCGCAGGGCAGUUGUGAAGGUGCUGCAUGGUUGUCGUCAGCUCGUGCCGUGAGGUGUCGGCUUAAGUGCCAUAACGAGCGCAACCCUUAUCGAUAGUUACCAUCAGGUUAUGCUGGGGACUCUGUCGAGACUGCCGUCGUAAGAUGUGAGGAAGGUGGGGAUGACGUCAAAUCAGCACGGCCCUUACGUCCGGGGCUACACACGUGUUACAAUGGGGGGUACAGAAGGCAGCUACACGGCGACGUGAUGCUAAUCCCGAAAGCCUCUCUCAGUUCGGAUUGGAGUCUGCAACCCGACUCCAUGAAGCUGGAUUCGCUAGUAAUCGCGCAUCAGCCACGGCGCGGUGAAUACGUUCCCG